CGGAAACGAGUUAACUGAACCUUCGGGGCACGUUAACGGCGUCGAGCGGCGGACGGGUGAGUAAUGCCUGGGAAAUUGCCCUGAUGUGGGGGAUAACCAUUGGAAACGAUGGCUAAUACCGCAUAAUAGCUUCGGCUCAAAGAGGGGGACCUUCGGGCCUCUCGCGUCAGGAUAUGCCCAGGUGGGAUUAGCUAGUUGGUGAGGUAAAGGCUCACCAAGGCGACGAUCCCUAGCUGGUCUGAGAGGAUGAUCAGCCACACUGGAACUGAGACACGGUCCAGACUCCUACGGGAGGCAGCAGUGGGGUAAUAUUGCACAAUGGGGCGCAAGCCUGAUGCAGCCAUGCCGCGUGUUAUGAAGAAGGCCUUCGGGUUGUAAAAGUACUUUCAGUCGUGAGGAAGGUG
rnacentral:rRNA from 1 species